GAAGCAGAGGCGUGAUUAUGUAAAUGGAGCUCCGCACCUCUGCCAGCUUGCUUAUCUCCCAAGCCUUCUGCCUGCUGCUCCUGGCUUCCCAUGCAAGUGCCUGCCUCUCUCUCUUAUCUCCCAACAAAGCUCCGAGAAGCACGGACUGAAGCCAGCGAUGUUAAACAAUGACGCAUGGCUGAUUUUAUUUAUCUAGAAUUCUCAUCUCAGUCUAAGGACACAAGGAACUGACACUUCAAGUAAGAACUGGUGAUAUGGUAUCGAGGACUUUCAACAAAGGAAAGAAAACAUAACUUAUUGGGAGGAGAAGGCCAGGAAUUCUAUUCUGCAAGGGCAGCAGAGCCUCUGAGCAGGUUCUCCUGGAGCACCUUACUACCAACAUGUCAGAAAAUGCCCAUGGUCAUCAAUCAAAGUCUCACAGCAGUAAAACUGUAACUGACAAGAAAAUUAGUCAUUCUGCAAAUUUCAGUUCUUGAGAAAGUGCUGUCAAAUUGGGUGGGAAAGGGCUUAACAGGCUGCGUGGCUGAUGAGACCCACUGGAGAAGUAAGCGAUCAGUUGGGAUGAUUGACGUCUGAGAGUUUUGGGUGUUCCUGUCAAUGGCUUGAUUUCUGGGAGGAAGGAGCCAGUGUCAUCUGGAUGGCUUCUCUUUCAUAGGUUCCACUCAUCCCAAAGAUCUAUGAUAGAAGCUAAACAUGUACUUUAGACUGUAAUCACGGCAAUGACCAUUGGGACUCUUCUGUUGACAUUUUCUAUUCAUGAAGUGUAGACUGAGUGGAAGGCAAUUAGAAAUGUACGUCAUCUAAAAAUGCCUUGAGUCCAGUUUAUGGCAAAGUCUAACAGAGGAGAUGAUUAAAUAGGAAUACAUGCAGACUUUUAGCUCAGUGAAAAAUUAUUAAAUAAAAAACACUCUGCAUUAUCUAGUACAAUGCAACUGAACUGAAUUAUUUAAUAAUUAUUGGACAAGUGCUCUGAUAUUGAGGACUAGGAGCUAUUUCCAUUUAGUCUACAAAUUAGUUUAUAUCUAGGUUGAUUGCAAGAAUCAAAUGAACACUAGGUGUAGUGGCACUCGUCUGAUGCACACAGGAGGAUGAGGCAGGAGGCUGAAAGUUCAAGGAGGUGGGGGGCGCUGUAGAGUGAGUUUGAGCCGCUGCCUAUGAAUCUCAGACUCUACAGAAAUUAUCCUGAUCCGAAGUUCUCCAACAACUUUCUUGACUUCAUUUAUGAAAGCAAUGAAAGAAAUGGUUACUUUUUUGUGCUGUUUACAAACUGUGAGCUUUAGUUAAUUCUUUUUCCUUCCUUCUAUACACUUAAGAAUAAUAAAGGUGGAAGCUGGA